rnacentral:rRNA from 1 species
GACGAACGCUGGCGGCGUGCCUAAUACAUGCAAGUCGAACGCAGUGGGGACGGGUGAGUAACACGUGGGUAACCUCCCAUCAGAGGGGAUAACACUUGGAAACAGGUGCUAAACCGAUACUGAUGGAUGGACCCGCUGUGCAUUAGCUAGUUGGUGAGGUAACGGCCCACCAAGGCAACGAUGCAUAGCCGACCGGAGAGGUUGAUCGGCCACACUGGAACUGAGAAACGGCCCAGACUCCGACGGGAGGCAGCAGUAGGGAAUCUUGCGCAAUGGGCGAAAGUCUGACGGAGCAACGCCGCGUGAGUGAAGAAGGUUUGCGGAUCGUAAAUCUCUGUUAUUAGGGAAGCGGUACCUAACAAGAAAGCCCCGGCUAACUACGUGCCAGCAGCCGCGGUAAUUC